AACGAAGCCAGCAAGGCCCCGGCCCCGGCCACACGAUGCGUCACGGUCACCAUCAGAGAGCUACCACCACCACCGAAUCUCCAGUCCACAUGGCUCCGAUCCUCCGUGGCGCCGUCUCAAAAAGUUAAGGCACCACCAGGGAGAACAUCGCAGUUCAGCGAGCUGCGCGCGAUGCUUUGUCAUGCUCGGAAUUUGCAGCUGAACAACCAGGCUUCGAGGCUUGUUCGGGACUUUGGGUUGAUGCUCCUCUCCAAAUUAAAAACAG
rnacentral:lncRNA from 1 species